rnacentral:rRNA from 1 species
GGACGUAGGGCGCGAGCGUUGUCCGGAUUUAUUGGGCGUAAAGAGCUCGUAGGCGGCUUGUCGCGUCCGACCGUGAAAACUUGGGGCUCAACCCCAAGCCUGCGGUCGAUACGGGCAGGCUCGAGUUCGGUAGGGGAGACUGGAAUUCCUGGUGUAGCGGUGAAAUGCGCAGAUAUCAGGAGGAACACCAAUGGCGAAGGCAGCACUCUGGGACGGUACUGACGCUGAGACGCGAAAGCGUGGGGGAGCAAACAGG